GGAUGUGAGGGUGAUCUGGCUGCGACAUCUGUCACCCCAUUGAUUGCCAGUGUUGAUUCGGCUGAUCUGGCUGGCUAGGUGGGUGUCCCCUUCCUCCCUCACUGCUCCAUGUGUGUCGCUCCUGAAGCUGCGUGCUCAGUCGAAGAGGACAGCCUUCCCCGAAUAUAGACGGACUGGUCUUUGGUCCAGGGUAUAUGAGUAGCUGCACUCCCCUGCUAGAACCUCCAAACAAGCUCUCAAGGUCCAAGCCCUGCUUCCCACCAGUGGGUGAGUGGGUUCAUGAGCAGUGAAGCAGUGGGCCAGGUAUCUCUGUCUAACCCUCUAUUAAAUUAAAAAAAGG
ensembl:misc_RNA 7SK 7SK RNA